UACGGAGGGUGCGAGCGUUGUCCGGAAUCACUGGGCGUAAAGGGCGCGUAGGUGGCCUGUGGAAGUCUGCGGUGAAAGCCCGGCGCUCAACGCCGGGUCGGCCGUGGAUACUCUCGGGCUUGAGCUUACUAGAGGCAGAUGGAAUUCCGGGUGUAGCGGUGGAAUGCGUAGAGAUCCGGAAGAACACCGGUGGCGAAAGCGCUCUACUGGACCUCAUCUGACACUCAGGGACGAAAGCUAGGGGAGCGAAUGGG
rnacentral:rRNA from 1 species